rnacentral:tRNA from 1 species
GCCCCAGUGGCCUAAUGGAUAAGGACACUGGCCUCCUAAGCCAGGGAUUGUGGGUUCAAGUCCCAUCUGGGGGU